rnacentral:rRNA from 1 species
CGACCUGAGCUCAGGCAAGAUUACCCGCUGAACUUAAGCAUAUCAAUAAGCGGAGGAAAAGAAACUAACCAGGAUGCCCUUAGUAACGGCGAGCGAACCGGGCAAAGCCCAACUUGAAAAUCUCCAGCCUCCGGCUGGCGAAUUGUAGUCUAGAGAAGUGCUCUCUGCCUCAGUCCGGCCCCAAGUCCCCUGGAAAGGGGCGUCAGAGAGGGUGAGAACCCCGUUGGGACCGGUGCCUGAGGCUCCACGAGACGCUUUCGAAGAGUCGGGUUGUUUGGGAAUGCAGCCCAAAGCAGGUGGUAAAUCCCAUCUAAGGCUAAAUACAGACGGGAGACCGAUAGCGAACAAUACCCCGGGGAGGAAAUUUUUUUAAACCACC